GGAGCUUUUAAAACUCUGGAUAAAGAAGGCGACGGCACCAUCUCCCUGGACAUCAAAGAGUGGCUCCAGCUGACGAUGUAUUCAUGAAGCGUGCAGGAGAGCCGCUCC